AGAUGACAUGCUCCAGGCUGUAGUACCAAACUCUGCCAAACCCUUCAACUUCCAGAAGGCAUUUGGACUCACUGACAAGCAGGCUCUGAAAGUGAGCGACCAUUAUCCUGUGGAGGUGGAGCUGAAGUCCAGUAAGACACAAGCAGCAACAUCCGGGGCAGAAAAAUGAAGCCAAUGCGGACGUGCCAAAAAUUGUAACCAGCAUGAGGCUGACUCCAGAAGCGAGUCAAUCUCCAUUGACCUCCACGUUAAAAUGAACAACUUUACAGCAGAAAUAAACAUGUUGGCAGCCUG